ensembl:snRNA U1 U1 spliceosomal RNA
ACACUUAACAUGGCAGGGGAGAUGCCAUGUUAAAGUGGUUUCCCCAGGUCAAGGUUUAUCCACUGCAUUGUGGAUGGGUAGGCCUGUUCAAGCUCCACAAAUGCAGAAACGUGACUGCAUAAUUUGUGGUAGUGGGGGACUGUAAUUGCAUUUUCCCCUA